rnacentral:ncRNA from 2 species
AAAAUUUUUAAAGCGCCAGAACUUAAGUAAAUUACUUUAGUUGAUUGAAUGUGGAUGUUUAGAGUUUUUUUAAAAGGAAACUCGACUCACAUACGUUCGCUGAGUAAGUUCCACUAACCAAAUCAUAGAUUUGGAUGCUCACUUAAGUUGACGAGGUUGGGGAGUUAUCGAAACUUCGGCGGGUGCCCCACGGUAUAGCACUACCGUUAACAGCUGGCAAAACUUUAAAGUGAUUUAAAGUACAAAUCCAGUUUGGUGUUAAAG